rnacentral:rRNA from 1 species
CAGGAUGAACGCUAGCUACAGGCUUAACACAUGCAAGUCGAGGGGCAGCAUUUCGCUAGCAAUAGUGAAGAUGGCCGACCGGCGCACGGGUGAGUAACACGUAUCCAACCUGCCGAUAACUCGGGGAUAGCCUUUCGAAAGAAAGAUUAAUACCCGAUGGCAUAGUUCUUCCGCAUGGUAGAACUAUUAAAGGAUUUCGGUCAUCGAUGGGGAUGCGUUCCAUUAGGUUGUUGGCGGGGUAACGGCCCACCAAGCCUUCGAUGGAUAGGGGUUCUGAGAGGAAGGUCCCCCACAUUGGAACUGAGACACGGUCCAAACUCCUACGGGAGGCAGCAGUGAGGAAUAUUGGUCAAUGGACGAGAGUCUGAACCAGCCAAGUAGCGUGCAGGAUGACGGCCCUAUGGGUUGUAAACUGCUUUUAUAAGGGAAUAAAGUGGGAGUCGUGACUCUUUUUGCAUGUACCUUAUGAAUAAGGACCGGCUAAUUCCGUG